AUUUAAAAAGUUUAUUAUAAUAAUGUUUCCUGGUGAAUUUGGAUAAAUUAAUAAUAAUUAAAAGUAAUUUAAUCGAAUCUUAAUAAAAUUUUUCAAAAUCUAUUUUAUGUUUAAAAAUUACAUAAAUUUUGAAAAAUUUUAAAUCAAAUAAAAUUAAGUUUUAUCUAUUUAAAUCUGAUAAAAAGAUAAAUUUUUAAUAAGAUUAAUUUAUUUAUCUAUGUUAAUUUAUGAUUUAAUUAAUAAGUAUACACAAAAAUUUUAAUUAUUUGUAUUAAAUUAUUAUAACUAAAUUUUAAUAUAAUUGUUUCUCAAAAACAUUUUAUAAAUUUUUAUAUAAAUUGCUGCUCAAUGAAUUUUAUAUUGCAGUUUUAGCGUGAUUACUCAAAGGUAGCAAAAUCCAUUGAUCCUUAAUUAGGUUACUGUUUGAAUGAAUAUAUAUAUUAAAAUUAUUAAACUUUUAAUUACUUAAAUUUUUAAAAAUUUGAAAAUAAAUUUAAAUUGUUUUCUACGAGAAGACCUUAAGAUUUUUAUAAAAAUAAUUAGAUAUUUAAUUUGGGAAUUUCUUAAAAUUAUAAAUAUAAUUUUUACUAAAAACAAUUAAAAUACCUUAGGGAUAACAGCUGAUAAAUAUUUCUUUGAUAAUUAUCUUUGACAUUAAUCUGACCUCGAUGUUGACUUAAAAAAUGUUAAAUUUAAAAUAUUUAACUUAAAGAUUGUUCAUCUUAAAUUAUUAAAUGAGUUGAGUUCAAAACACUGAGAAGUAGUUUGGUUUCUAUAGAAAUAUAUUUUACUUAAAUUUAAAAGUACGUAAGGAUAUUAAAUUUUUUAA
rnacentral:rRNA from 1 species